AGAACGAACGCUGGCGGCAUGCCUAACACAUGCAAGUCGAACGAGACCUUCGGGUCUAGUGGCGCACGGGUGCGUAACGCGUGGGAACCUGCCUUUAGGUUCGGAAUAACUCAGAGAAAUUUGAGCUAAUACCGGAUAAUGUCUUCGGACCAAAGAUUUAUCGCCUUUAGAUGGGCCCGCGUAGGAUUAGCUUGUUGGUGGGGUAAUGGCCUACCAAGGCGACGAUCCUUAGCUGGUCUGAGAGGAUGAUCAGCCACACUGGGACUGAGACACGGCCCAGACUCCUACGGGAGGCAGCAGUGGGGAAUAUUGGACAAUGGGCGAAAAGCCUGAUCCAGCAAUGCCGCGUGAGUGAUGAAGGCCUUAGGGUUGUAAAGCUCUUUUACCCGGGAUGAUAAUGACAGUACCGGAGAAUAAAGCUCCGGCUAAACUCCGUGCCCAGCAGCCGC
rnacentral:rRNA from 1 species